GCCGGACGAAAAGACGGACGCCAAAAAUCUGAAGCUUAGGAGCCUGGCUUAAAACCGAUCGGAUAAAUAAGGUAAUUACAUGGGAGAAUGUUCCUUCCGAGACGCCGCGGUGGGGAAUCGGAACCAGCGGCAAAGGAGGGGAAACGGCGAAGAUGAUCCAGGAGGGGCAAUGCUCUUAUAAAACUACACAAAACUGGCCUGACCGUGACAUUGCUAAAGUUCACCCGCAUUCAAAUCACGAUGGCGCUGAAAACACCCGGGAGCGCGUCCUUAGUUUUAGUUUUAGUUAGUUUUACGACAUUGUUUUCCGCCUUUUCCGCGUACACCGUGCCGACCGCACAACCCCAAUCUCAAAGGGGGGCUGUCAAAUACUACAAUCAACCCUCGUACCAACCCGCCGUGCGGAAACCCACCGUCGCUCAAGCUCAUGUCCCUUACACGCACCAAACCCUGAAGCAUGGGGCCGUCCCUGUGGUCCCCGUUGUCCCUGCGAGUCCCGCCAAGGCAACGCCGAAGCCCGCCGUCGCGAACAAGUACUACCAACCGUACCAAUACCCGGUGCCGGUAGCCUCUCAGUAUCAAUACCCGGUGCCGCUUAAGACCGUUCAACCGAGUGCAAAGCCCGCAAGUCCCAAACAGAAUGUGAAGCAAAGUUCGGCCAAGAAGAAGGUUACCCCGGUGCCAGCGAAUUAUUAUUACCCGAGUGCCACGCAAAAUAAGUAUUACGCUCCCACCAACACGUACGUCGCCAAACCAGCAGUUACACAGUUUGGCACAAAGAAGUACGUGGUAUCAAACGGAUACGGUGGCACUAGGCAACUAAGUGAAGCAGAGCUCCGUCAGAUUUUGCAACAGUACCAAGUUGCCAUCUUUGGUAACUACCCGUCAAACGGUACCGGCGCACCUCAAGUCAUAUUCAUUCCCUCCGGCUAUCCGCAAGGUUACCCUCAGCAUCAACCUGGCUACCCUCAGCCUCAACCCGGCUACCCUCAACCAGGAAGCGUUCAAUCACAAUACCCUCCUCCGAGCUACCCACCUUCUGGUUACCCGCAACCCUCUUAUCCACCUCCGUCAUACCCGCAGCCUGGAUACCCACAACCUGGAUACCCACAACCUGGAUACCCGCAGCCUGUAUUUCCAGAACAGCCAGAACAACCAGCUCAACCUGUUCAACCAGUACAACCAACGCCAUCACCGUUCCCAGAACAGCCACCGACAUCGCCUCCAACUGUGAAUCCAGGAUCUUGGGAGACUCAGCAACCAGGCGAGCUUCCCCCGGAUCAGGUGUUCGUUGUACCAGGUGAGCAGACAGGUGGGCCAGAUUCUGGCUCUCCUGCACCGGAAGAAAAUAUCCCCCCAUCGAGACAUCUGGACCAAGUGGCCCCGAAACUGGACCAAGUGGCCCCGCAACUGGACCAAGUGGCGGAGACUCAUCAUCCGGAUCGCAGGAGCCAGAUAACUCAGGAGUAUACCAACCACCAGUUGGCCCUGUAGACGUUCUUGUUCCUGCUUCAACCGAAGGACCAUCGCCGCCAUAUCAGCCACCCAGCGAGCCGAGUGAACCCGGCGUGGUUUACCCUGGAGGACAACCAAAUCCCUCAACAACUGACGUAUCAUAUCCUUCAUCUCCCGAAGAACAGCCUCAGCCACCCUACGGUCCCACCGACGGUGUAUACACUCAGCCGCCUCCACCCGAGUCUGUGUACACUGAAGCACCUCAACCUGCGCAAGUAAUUCCCGGUGAAGGUCAGCCGGAUGGACAGGUUUACCCGAGCCCCGGAUAUCCGGGAGAGGCACCAUCUCCAGGAAAUGAAGUUUAUCCAGGUGGGUCUCAAACACCGACUGGGUACCCCUCACCUGGAGAGCCAGCUCCUCAGCCCGGAACACCGGUUGAGUACCCUCCACCUGGACAGCCAGGCGCACCCGAACAAUCUACAUAUUCCCCAACUAUCGAUCAACUUGUGCCCGAGACAAGUCCUGAAUCGCCUGGACCUUCCGAGGGAGGAGCUGGAGCACAACCUCAACCAGUUGAUCCUUAUCCAGUUCAGCCAGACAACCAGUACCCAGGAUCUUCUGAGCAAGGUGGACAAGGACAACCAGAACCUGCUGUAGUUCCACAGCCUGAUAAUUCUAAUAAUGAAG
rnacentral:lncRNA from 1 species